UAACCGAAAAAUGUAGGAAAAAAUGGAUUUUAAAUUUACGUUUACAGUCGGGAGGAGCAGAGUCUGCCAAUGCCCGUGUCUGCAGCGACCACUUCGUCAGAGGCUGCCCAAGUGCUUUGGAUGACGAAGAGUCGGAGGACUGGGCUCCGACGGUCAAUCUCGGCUACGAACGAAAACCCAGAUCGGAAUCAGUUCUCAAACGAGAGAAAAGAAUGAAGCUUAAGGCAGAACAGCAUCGAUGUGCAGAGGCGAUUUUGGAUAUGCAACAGACGGCUGAGAGCCCGGAUUUGAGCCUAGUGACAGUGGAGAACCCCGAACUGCAGCUUCCAGCUGAGAAUCCACAACCAGAAGACUUCAGUGUGAAUGAGACAUUCACUUAUCCAGUGUCCUCCAUGUUUACUUCCGCCCUCCACUCAAAAAUCGCGCUGCCUCCGCACGUCAUCAGAACCACGUGACCGCAACCCAACUAUUGA